CCCUUAGAUGUUCGGGGCCGCACGCGCGCUACACUGAAGGAAUCAGCACGUCUUUCUCCUUGUCCGAAAGGACUGGGUAACCCGCUGAACCUCCUUCGUGCUAGGGAUUGGGGCUUGUAAUUCUUCCCCAUGAACGAGGAAUUCCCAGUAAGCGCGAGUCAUAAGCUCGCGUUGAUUACGUCCCUGCCCUUUGUACACACCGCCCGUCGCUAAUACCGAUUGGAUGGUUUAGUGAGAUCCUCGGAUUGGUCCCGGAGCGGCCUCUGGUCGUGCCGGAGUGCCGAAAAGAAUGUCGAACUUGAUCAUCUAGAGGAAGUAAAAGUCGUAACA
rnacentral:rRNA from 1 species